GACGAACGCUGGCGGCGUGCUUAACACAUGCAAGUCGAACGGAAAGGCCCUGCUUUUGUGGGGUGCUCGAGUGGCGAACGGGUGAGUAACACGUGAGUAACCUGCCCUUGACUUUGGGAUAACUUCAGGAAACUGGGGCUAAUACCGGAUAGGAGCUCCUGCUGCAUGGUGGGGGUUGGAAAGUUUCGGCGGUUGGGGAUGGACUCGCGGCUUAUCAGCUUGUUGGUGGGGUAGUGGCUUACCAAGGCUUUGACGGGUAGCCGGCCUGAGAGGGUGACCGGCCACAUUGGCACUGAGAUACGGCCAAGACUCCUACGGGAGGAAGCAGUGGGGAAUAUUGCACAAUGGGCGGAAGCCUGAUGCAGCAACGCCGCGUGCGGGAUGACGGCCUUCGGGUUGUAAACCGCUUUCGCCUGUGACGAAGCGUGAGUGACGGUAAUGGGUAAAGAAGCACCGGCUAACUACGU
rnacentral:rRNA from 1 species